rnacentral:rRNA from 1 species
UACGGGGGGAGCAAGCGUUGUUCGGAUUUACUGGGCGUAAAGGGCACGUAGGCGGCCAGCACAAGUCAGUUGUGAAAUCUCCGAGCUUAACUCGGAAAGGUCAACUGAUACUGUGCGGCUAGAGUGCGGAAGGGGCAACUGGAAUUCUUGGUGUAGCGGUGAAAUGCGUAGAUAUCAAGAGGAACACCUGCGGCGAAGGCGGGUUGCUGGGCCGACACUGACGCUGAGGCGCGAAAGCCAGGGGAGCGAACGGG